UACAGAGGUGGCAAGCGUUGUUCGGAAUUACUGGGCGUAAAGGGCGCGUAGGCGGCCUUCUAAGUCAGACGUGAAAUCCCCAGGCUUAACUUGGGAACUGCGUCUGAUACUGGAGGGCUUGAGUGCGGGAGAGGGAUGUGGAAUUCCAGGUGUAGCGGUGAAAUGCGUAGAUAUCUGGAGGAACACCGGUGGCGAAGGCGGCAUCCUGGACCGACACUGACGCUGAGGCGCGAAAGCGUGGGGAGCGAACAGG
rnacentral:rRNA from 1 species